GAUGAACGCUGGCGGCGUGCUUAACACAUGCCAGUCGAACGAUGAAGCCCAGCUUGCUGGGUGGAUUAGUGGCGAACGGGUGAGUAACACGUGAGUAACCUGCCCUUAACUCUGGGAUAAGCCUGGGAAACUGGGUCUAAUACCGGAUAGGAGCGUCCACCGCAUGGUGGGUGUUGGAAAGAUUUAUCGGUUUUGGAUGGACUCGCGGCCUAUCAGCUUGUUGGUGAGGUAAUGGCUCACCAAGGCGACGACGGGUAGCCGGCCUGAGAGGGUGACCGGCCACACUGGGACUGAGACACGGCCCAGACUCCUACGGGAGGCAGCAGUGGGGAAUAUUGCACAAUGGGCGCAAGCCUGAUGCAGCGACGCCGCGUGAGGGAUGACGGCCUUCGGGUUGUAAACCUCUUUCAGUAGGGAAGAAGCGAUAGUGACGGUACCUGCAGAAGAAGCACCGGCUAACUACGU
rnacentral:rRNA from 1 species